rnacentral:rRNA from 1 species
CCAAUAGCGUAUAUUAAAGUUGUUGCAGUUAAAAAGCUCGUAGUUGAAUUUCGGGGUCAGUAGAUUGGUCAUGCCACUGGUAUGUACUGGUCUCACUGAUUCCUCCUUCCUGAUGAGCCGUAAUGCCAUUAAUUUGGUGUUGCGAGGAAUCUGGACUGUUACUUUGCAAAAAUUAGAGUGUUUAAAGCAGGCUAACGCUUGAAUACAUUAGCAUGGAAUAAUGAAAUAGGACGUUCGAUCUUAUUUUGUUGGUUUCUAAGAUUGACGUAAUGAUUAAUAGGGAUAGUUUGGUGCAUUAGUAUUCAAUUGUCAGAGGUGAAAUUCUUGGCUUUAUUGAAGACUAACUACUGCGAAAGCAUUUGCCAAGGAUGUUUUCAUUAAUCAAGAACGAAAGUUAGGGGAUCGAAGACGAUCAGAUACCGUCGUAGUCUUAACCAUAAACUAUGCCGACUAGGGAUCGGAUGAUGUUAAUUUUUUAAUGACUCAUUCGGCGCCUUACG